UACGUAGGGGGCGAGCGUUGUCCGGAUUCAUUGGGCGUAAAGAGCUCGUAGGCGGCUUGGCAAGUCGGGUGUGAAACCUCCAGGCUCAACCUGGAGACGCCACCCGAUACUGCUAUGGCUAGAGUCCGGUAGGGGACCACGGAAUUCCUGGUGUAGCGGUGAAAUGCGCAGAUAUCGGGAGGAACACCAAUGGCGAAGGCAGCUCGCUGGGACGGUACUGACGCUGAGGCGCGAAAGCGUGGGGAGCAAACAGGG
rnacentral:rRNA from 1 species